rnacentral:rRNA from 1 species
AGUGAACGCUGGCGGCGUGCUUAACACAUGCAAGUCGAACGAGAACGGAUUAUAGCUUGCUAUAAUUGUCAGCUAAGUGGCGCACGGGUGAGUAAUGUAUAGGUAAUAUGCCUCUUACUAAGGGAUAACAAAUGGAAACGUUUGCUAAUACCUUAUACUCCUUAUUAACAUAAGUUAAUAAGGGAAAGAUUUAUUGGUAAGAGAUUAGCCUGUAUUGUAUCAGUUAGUUGGUGGGGUAAUUGCUUACCAAGACUAUGACACAUAACUGGUUUGAGAGGAUGAUCAGUCACACUGGAACUGAGACACGGUCCAGACUCCUACGGGAGGCAGCAGUGGGGAAUAUUGCACAAUGGACGGAAGUCUGAUGCAGCAACGCCGCGUGGAGGAUGACACAUUUCGGUGCGUAAACUCCUUUUAUAUGAGAAGAUAAUGACGGUAUUAUAUGAAUAAGCACCGGCUAACUCCGUGCCAGCAGCCGCCGCCG